UCAUCAUCUCAUCAGUGUCUUCUGAGAUACCACAUAGCUGAGGCAAAUUACCUAUCACCAACGGCAGUACUUAAGACGCUGGCGCACGAUCACUCCUCGCUAGGACGUUGACGAAUCCCUUCUCAUCCUUUGGCCUCAUCAUACAAGAAGCUACGCUCGCUCAGCAACACUUUGAGUAUCACGCUACUAAAAAGUAAGACUGUUUAAUCCUCACUUACAUCUGCCUAUACUCCUAGGUUUCCCGUCAUUACUCCAGCAAUCUGCACCUCUGACACUCGCCGUUCUGCCUCUGCCUGAGUGACCUGCUGCCAAUUAUCUCUCCUCUUCAUCUUCCUCGAGCCCAGCCAUCUCCGCUCUACCCCACCUUAGUUCACCAGCUAUACUCACCUGUCUGAGCUUGUCUUCGUUUCCUCCAUUUGUCCUGCAUUGCCACCUCCAGCUUCCCAACUGUGGACCCCCUCGAGUACCAUACCAUGACUGUCCGUGAUUCCACACUGCCUCUGAACAUCUGCCAGUGUGCUGACACCGUGGUCAUAUGACAGCAAGUUCACAUACUGUAUAUGAAUGAAGACUUGGUGAGGACUUUGAAUCAGAAUGUGCUUUAUUGGCCAGGUGUGUCGGACACAUGAGGAAUUUGACUCUGGUACAUCGGCUGUCAAAGUGCAUGUACCCAUGCAAGGGGUACGUAAACAGUAAACCAACAUAAGGGUGUAUAAUAUAACAAAAUAAGCAGUAUUAGCAGCAACAAAC